AACAAGUACCGUGAGGGAAAGAUGAAAAGAACUUUGGAAAGAGAGUUAAAAAGUACCUGAAAUUGCUAAGGGGGAAGUGAUGGAAAGUAACAUUGUAGGUUCAGUUCUAGGUUCGUCUGCUGAUGCUUUUCGCGUGUUUUCGGACCGCAGGGUGGGCACUGGCGUUCUGAUUGGCUGGAUUUGCUGUGUCAGCCUGGCUUUUGAUCGUGGGAAAAUGCCUAGUCAAUUGGCGACGGCGACUACCAUGUUGAAGAGUCAUUGGUUGGCGAAAUGGUUUUCAUCGACCCGUCUGGAAACACGGACCAAGGAGUCUAA
rnacentral:rRNA from 1 species